UAAGCGACUAAGCGUACACGGUGGAUGCCCUGGCAGUCAGAGGCGAUGAAGGACGUGCUAAUCUGCGAUAAGCGUCGGUAAGGUGAUAUGAACCGUUAUAACCGGCGAUUUCCGAAUGGGGAAACCCAGUGUGAUUCGACACACUAUCAUUAACUGAAUCCAUAGGUUAAUGAGGCGAACCGGGGGAACUGAAACAUCUAAGUACCCCGAGGAAAAGAAAUCAACCGAGAUUCCCCCAGUAGCGGCGAGCGAACGGGGAGGAGCCCAGAGCCUGAAUCAGUGUGUGUGUUAGUGGAAGCGUCUGGAAAGGCGCGCGAUACAGGGUGACAGCCCCGUACACAAAAAUGCACAUACUGUGAGCUCGAUGAGUAGGGCGGGACACGUGGUAUCCUGUCUGAAUAUGGGGGGACCAUCCUCCAAGGCUAAAUACUCCUGACUGACCGAUAGUGAACCAGUACCGUGAGGGAAAGGCGAAAAGAACCCCGGCGAGGGGAGUGAAAAAGAACCUGAAACCGUGUACGUACAAGCAGUGGGAGCCUCUUUUAUGGGGUGACUGCGUACCUUUUGUAUAAUGGGUCAGCGACUUAUAUUCUGUAGCAAGGUUAACCGAAUAGGGGAGCCGAAGGGAAACCGAGUCUUAACCGGGCGUUAAGUUGCAGGGUAUAGACCCGAAACCCGGUGAUCUAGCCAUGGGCAGGUUGAAGGUUGGGUAACACUAACUGGAGGACCGAACCGACUAAUGUUGAAAAAAUUAGCGGAUGACUUGUGGCUGGGGGUGAAAGGCCAAUCAAACCGGGAGAUAGCUGGUUCUCCCCGAAAGCUAUUUAGGUAGCGCCUCGUGAAUUCAUCUCCGGGGGUAGAGCACUGUUUCGGCAAGGGGGUCAUCCCGACUUACCAACCCGAUGCAAACUGCGAAUACCGGAGAAUGUUAUCACGGGAGACACACGGCGGGUGCUAACGUCCGUCGUGAAGAGGGAAACAACCCAGACCGCCAGCUAAGGUCCCAAAGUCAUGGUUAAGUGGGAAACGAUGUGGGAAGGCCCAGACAGCCAGGAUGUUGGCUUAGAAGCAGCCAUCAUUUAAAGAAAGCGUAAUAGCUCACUGGUCGAGUCGGCCUGCGCGGAAGAUGUAACGGGGCUAAACCAUGCACCGAAGCUGCGGCAGCGACACUGUGUGUUGUUGGGUAGGGGAGCGUUCUGUAAGCCUGUGAAGGUGUACUGUAAGGUAUGCUGGAGGUAUCAGAAGUGCGAAUGCUGACAUAAGUAACGAUAAAGCGGGUGAAAAGCCCGCUCGCCGGAAGACCAAGGGUUCCUGUCCAACGUUAAUCGGGGCAGGGUGAGUCGACCCCUAAGGCGAGGCCGAAAGGCGUAGUCGAUGGGAAACAGGUUAAUAUUCCUGUACUUGGUGUUACUGCGAAGGGGGGACGGAGAAGGCUAUGUUGGCCGGGCGACGGUUGUCCCGGUUUAAGCGUGUAGGCUGGUUUUCCAGGCAAAUCCGGAAAAUCAAGGCUGAGGCGUGAUGACGAGGCACUACGGUGCUGAAGCAACAAAUGCCCUGCUUCCAGGAAAAGCCUCUAAGCAUCAGGUAACAUCAAAUCGUACCCCAAACCGACACAGGUGGUCAGGUAGAGAAUACCAAGGCGCUUGAGAGAACUCGGGUGAAGGAACUAGGCAAAAUGGUGCCGUAACUUCGGGAGAAGGCACGCUGAUAUGUAGGUGAAGUCCCUCGCGGAUGGAGCUGAAAUCAGUCGAAGAUACCAGCUGGCUGCAACUGUUUAUUAAAAACACAGCACUGUGCAAACACGAAAGUGGACGUAUACGGUGUGACGCCUGCCCGGUGCCGGAAGGUUAAUUGAUGGGGUCAGCGCAAGCGAAGCUCUUGAUCGAAGCCCCGGUAAACGGCGGCCGUAACUAUAACGGUCCUAAGGUAGCGAAAUUCCUUGUCGGGUAAGUUCCGACCUGCACGAAUGGCGUAAUGAUGGCCAGGCUGUCUCCACCCGAGACUCAGUGAAAUUGAACUCGCUGUGAAGAUGCAGUGUACCCGCGGCAAGACGGAAAGACCCCGUGAACCUUUACUAUAGCUUGACACUGAACAUUGAGCCUUGAUGUGUAGGAUAGGUGGGAGGCUUUGAAGUGUGGACGCCAGUCUGCAUGGAGCCGACCUUGAAAUACCACCCUUUAAUGUUUGAUGUUCUAACGUGGACCCGUGAUCCGGGUUGCGGACAGUGUCUGGUGGGUAGUUUGACUGGGGCGGUCUCCUCCUAAAGAGUAACGGAGGAGCACGAAGGUUGGCUAAUCCUGGUCGGACAUCAGGAGGUUAGUGCAAUGGCAUAAGCCAGCUUGACUGCGAGCGUGACGGCGCGAGCAGGUGCGAAAGCAGGUCAUAGUGAUCCGGUGGUUCUGAAUGGAAGGGCCAUCGCUCAACGGAUAAAAGGUACUCCGGGGAUAACAGGCUGAUACCGCCCAAGAGUUCAUAUCGACGGCGGUGUUUGGCACCUCGAUGUCGGCUCAUCACAUCCUGGGGCUGAAGUAGGUCCCAAGGGUAUGGCUGUUCGCCAUUUAAAGUGGUACGCGAGCUGGGUUUAGAACGUCGUGAGACAGUUCGGUCCCUAUCUGCCGUGGGCGCUGGAGAACUGAGGGGGGCUGCUCCUAGUACGAGAGGACCGGAGUGGACGCAUCACUGGUGUUCGGGUUGUCAUGCCAAUGGCACUGCCCGGUAGCUAAAUGCGGAAGAGAUAAGUGCUGAAAGCAUCUAAGCACGAAACUUGCCCCGAGAUGAGUUCUCCCUGACCCUUUAAGGGUCCUGAAGGAACGUUGAAGACGACGACGUUGAUAGGCCGGGUGUGUAAGCGCAGCGAUGCGUUGAGCUAACCGGUACUAAUGAACCGUGAGGCUUAACCU
rnacentral:rRNA from 1 species